GAUGAACGCUGGCGGCGUGCCUAAUACAUGCAAGUCGAGCGAACAGACGAGGAAGCUGCCUCCUUUGCGUUAGCGGGGGGCGGGUGAGUAACAUGUCGAUAACCUACCUAUAAAAUGGGGGUUACUUCGGGAAACCGUAGCCAAAACCGGAUUACAUAUUACACGGGAUGGUUCAAUAGCGACAGACGGUUUUGCUUUCACUUAUCCUUGGAUCCACGCCGUAUUAGUUAGUUGGUGAGGUAACGGCUUACCAAGGCAGCGAUGCGUAACUGAUCUGAGAGGGUGAUCAGCCACACUGGAACUGAGACACGGUCCAGACUCCUACGGGAGGCAGCAGUAGGGAAUCUUCCGCAAUGGGGGAAAGCCUGAUGGAGCCACGCCGCGUGAGUGAUGAAGGUCUUAGGAUGGUAAAGCACUGUAAGUAGGGAGGAAGAAAAGUUUAAGUAACUAUGACCGUCUUGACGGUACCGACAGAAUAAGCCACGGCUAACUACGUG
rnacentral:rRNA from 1 species